CCAACGGCUCUUCUAAGAGCCCUCACACUGUCUAUAGAGCAACGUU
rfam:Oryzias latipes DNA, chromosome14, strain: Hd-rR.